rnacentral:rRNA from 1 species
GACGAACGCUGGCGGCGUGCUUAACACAUGCAAGUCGAGCGGAGCGGCGCACGGGUGAGUAACGCGGGAGUAACUGUCCCCCUCUCUGGGGUAACAGUUGGAAACGGCUACUAAUACCGGAUAGUGGGGGAUGACUCGGGUCCUAUAAGCUUUUUGGUGGGGUAGUGGCCUACCAAGGCGACGACGGGUCGCCGGCCUGAGAGGGCGACCGGCCACAUUGGGCUGAGAUACGGCCCAAAAUCCUACGGGACGCAGCAGUGGGGAAUAUUGCCGAAUGGGGCAAACCCUGAGGCAGAAACGCCGCGUGUGGGAUGACGGCCUUCGGGUUGUAAACCGCGUUCAGCCAGGACGCGGUAGUGGCAGAAGAAGCACCGGCUAACUACGUGCCAGCAGCCGCGGUAAUAC